rnacentral:tRNA from 1 species
GUACUAGUAGCUUAAUGGUAAAGCACUACAUUGUGGAUGUAGCACAUGUGAGUUCGAGUCUCACCUAGCACCCCA